CAGCCGCCGCGGGAAUACGUAGGGUGCGAGCGUUAAUCGGAAUUACUGGGCGUAAAGCGUGCGCAGGCGGUUUUGUAAGACAGAGGUGAAAUCCCCGGGCUCAACCUGGGAACUGCCUUUGUGACUGCAAGGCUAGAGUACGGCAGAGGGGGAUGGAAUUCCGCGUGUAGCAGUGAAAUGCGUAGAUAUGCGGAGGAACACCGAUGGCGAAGGCAAUCCCCUGGGCCUGUACUGACGCUCAUGCACGAAAGCGUGGGGAGCAAACAGGAUUAGAUACCCGCGUAGUCCCUGUCUCUUAUAC
rnacentral:rRNA from 1 species